rnacentral:rRNA from 1 species
GACGAACGCUGGCGGCGUGGAUUAGGCAUGCAAGUCGAACGGUAGGAUACCUUCGGGUAUCUGAGAGUGGCGAACGGGUGAGUAACACGUAGGUGAUCUACCCUCAAGAUUGGGACAACCCAGGGAAACUUGGGCUAAUACCGGAUGAAAGCAGCAGUGAUGUUGUUUGAAAGGUGGCGUAAGCUGCCGUUUGGGGAUGAGCCUGCGCUCUAUUAGUUAGUUGGCGGGGUAAAGGCCCACCAAGGCGAUGAUAGAUAGGCGGCCUUAACGGGUGGUCGCCCACACUGGGAUUGAGAUACGGCCCAGACUCCUACGGGAGGCAGCAGUCGAGAAUAGUCUACAAUGGCCGAAAGGCUGAUAGUGCGACGCCGCGUGAACGAAGAAGCCCUUCGGGGUGUAAAGUUCUUUUAUAUGUGAGCAGUGCUUUCUAUGUGAACAGCAUGGGGAAGAGAUAUUAGCAUAUGAAUAAGCAACGGCUAACUCCGUGCCAGCACG